AACGAACGCUGGCGGCAUGCCUAACACAUGCAAGUCGAACGAAGCCUUCGGGCUUAGUGGCGCACGGGUGCGUAACGCGUGGGAAUCUGCCCUUGGGUUCGGAAUAACAGUUAGAAAUGACUGCUAAUACCGGAUGAUGUCUUCGGACCAAAGAUUUAUCGCCCAAGGAUGAGCCCGCGUAGGAUUAGGUAGUUGGUGGGGUAAUGGCCCACCAAGCCGACGAUCCUUAGCNGGUCUGAGAGGAUGAUCAGCCACACUGGGACUGAGACACGGCCCAGACUCCUACGGGAGGCAGCAGUGGGGAAUAUUGGACAAUGGGCGAAAGCCUGAUCCAGCAAUGCCGCGUGAGUGAUGAAGGCCUUAGGGUUGUAAACCUCUGUCACCGGGGGAAGAAACGCUUCAGGUUAAUAUCCUGAAGCCUGACUUAACCCGGAGAGGAAGCAGUGGCUAACUCUGUGCCAGCAG
rnacentral:rRNA from 1 species